AACGCUGGCGGCAGGCUUAACACAUGCAAGUCGAACGGUAACAUAAAGAAGCUUGCUUCUUUGAUGACGAGUGGCGGACGGGUGAGUAAUGCUUGGGAAUCUAGCUUAUGGAGGGGGAUAACUACGGGAAACUGUAGCUAAUACCGCGUAGUAUCGGAAGAUGAAAGUGUGGGACCUUCGGGCCACAUGCCAUAGGAUGAGCCCAAGUGGGAUUAGGUAGUUGGUGAGGUAAAGGCUCACCAAGCCGACGAUCUCUAGCUGGUCUGAGAGGAUGACCAGCCACACUGGGACUGAGACACGGCCCAGACUCCUACGGGAGGCAGCAGUGGGGAAUAUUGCGCAAUGGGGGCAACCCUGACGCAGCCAUGCCGCGUGAAUGAAGAAGGCCUUCGGGUUGUAAAGUUCUUUCGGUAGCGAGGAAGGCACUUAGUUUAAUARACUAGGUGAUUGACGUU
rnacentral:rRNA from 1 species